GACAGAGGGUGCAAACGUUGUUCGGAAUUACUGGGCGUAAAGCGUGUGUAGGCGGUCCACUAAGUCGGAUGUGAAAGCCCUGGGCUCAACCCAGGAAGUGCACUCGAAACUGGCGGGCUAGAGUAUCGGAGAGGUUGGUGGAAUUCUCGGUGUAGAGGUGAAAUUCGUAGAUAUCGAGAGGAACACCGGUGGCGAAGGCGGCUCACUGGUCCGGUACUGACGCUGAGGUGCGAAAGCGUGGGGAGCAAACAGG
rnacentral:rRNA from 1 species